rnacentral:rRNA from 1 species
AACGAACGCUGGCGGCAUGCCUAACACAUGCAAGUCGAACGAUACCUUCGGGUCUAGUGGCGCACGGGUGCGUAACGCGUGGGAACCUGCCCUUAGGUUCGGAAUAACUCCCCGAAAGGUGUGCUAAUACCGGAUAAUGUCUUCGGACCAAAGAUUUAUCGCCUUUUGAUGGGCCCGCGUUGGAUUAGCUAGUUGGUAGGGUAAAAGCCUACCAAGGCGACGAUCCAUAGCUGGUCUGAGAGGAUGAUCAGCCACACUGGGACUGAGACACGGCCCAGACGCCUAGGGGAGGCAGCAGUGGGGAAUAUUGGACGAUGGGCGAAAGCCUGAUCCAGCAAUGCCGCGUGAGUGAUGAAGGCCUUAGGGUUGUAAAGCUCUUUUACCCGGGAUGAUAAUGACAGUACCGGGAGAAUAAGCUCCGGCUAACUCCGUG